GGGACACGUGGUAUCCUGUCUGAAUAUGGGGGGACCAUCCUCCAAGGCUAAAUACUCCUGACUGACCGAUAGUGAACCAGUACCGUGAGGGAAAGGCGAAAAGAACCCCGGCGAGGGGAGUGAAAAAGAACCUGAAACCGUGUACGUACAAGCAGUGGGAGCACAGAGCAAUCUGUGUGACUGCGUACCUUUUGUAUAAUGGGUCAGCGACUUAUAUUCUGUAGCAAGGUUAACCGAAUAGGGGAGCCGAAGGGAAACCGAGUCUUAACUGGGCGUUAAGUUGCAGGGUAUAGACCCGAAACCCGGUGAUCUAGCCAUGGGCAGGUUGAAGGUUGGGUAACACUAACUGGAGGACCGAACCGACUAAUGUUGAAAAAUUAGCGGAUGACUUGUGGCUGGGGGUGAAAGGCCAAUCAAACCGGGAGAUAGCUGGUUCUCCCCGAAAGCUAUUUAGGUAGCGCCUCGUGAAUUCAUCUCCGGGGGUAGAGCACUGUUUCGGCAAGGGGGUCAUCCCGACUUACCAACCCGAUGCAAACUGCGAAUACCGGAGAAUGUUAUCACGGGAGACACACGGCGGGUGCUAACGUCCGUCGUGAAGAGGGAAACAACCCAGACCGCCAGCUAAGGUCCCAAAGUCAUGGUUAAGUGGGAAACGAUGUGGGAAGGCCCAGACAGCCAGGAUGUUGGCUUAGAAGCAGCCAUCAUUUAAAGAAAGCGUAAUAGCUCACUGGUCGAGUCGGCCUGCGCGGAAGAUGUAACGGGGCUAAACCAUGCACCGAAGCUGCGGCAGCGACGCUUAUGCGUUGUUGGGUAGGGGAGCGUUCUGUAAGCCUGUGAAGGUGUGCUGUGAGGCAUGCUGGAGGUAUCAGAAGUGCGAAUGCUGACAUAAGUAACGAUAAAGCGGGUGAAAAGCCCGCUCGCCGGAAGACCAAGGGUUCCUGUCCAACGUUAAUCGGGGCAGGGUGAGUCGACCCCUAAGGCGAGGCCGAAAGGCGUAGUCGAUGGGAAACAGGUUAAUAUUCCUGUACUUGGUGUUACUGCGAAGGGGGGACGGAGAAGGCUAUGUUGGCCGGGCGACGGUUGUCCCGGUUUAAGCGUGUAGGCUGGUUUUCCAGGCAAAUCCGGAAAAUCAAGGCUGAGGCGUGAUGACGAGGCACUACGGUGCUGAAGCAACAAAUGCCCUGCUUCCAGGAAAAGCCUCUAAGCAUCAGGUAACAUCAAAUCGUACCCCAAACCGACACAGGUGGUCAGGUAGAGAAUACCAAGGCGCUUGAGAGAACUCGGGUGAAGGAACUAGGCAAAAUGGUGCCGUAACUUCGGGAGAAGGCACGCUGAUAUGUAGGUGAGGUCCCUCGCGGAUGGAGCUGAAAUCAGUCGAAGAUACCAGCUGGCUGCAACUGUUUAUUAAAAACACAGCACUGUGCAAACACGAAAGUGGACGUAUACGGUGUGACGCCUGCCCGGUGCCGGAAGGUUAAUUGAUGGGGUUAGCGGUAACGCGAAGCUCUUGAUCGAAGCCCCGGUAAACGGCGGCCGUAACUAUAACGGUCCUAAGGUAGCGAAAUUCCUUGUCGGGUAAGUUCCGACCUGCACGAAUGGC
rnacentral:rRNA from 1 species